rnacentral:lncRNA from 1 species
GGGAGAGGAGGAAGACCAGGCUAGAGGAGGGAGACCAGGCUAGAGGAGGAAGACCAGGCUAGGGGAGGAAGACCAGGCUAGGGGAGGAAGACCAGGCUAGAGGAGGGAGACCAGGCUAGAGGAGGAAGACCAGGCUAGAGGAGGAAGGCCAGGCUAGAGGAGGAAGGCCAGGCUAGAGGAGGAAGACCAGGCUAGAGGAGGAAGACCAGGCUAGGGGAGGGAGACCAGGCGAGAGGAGGGGGCACAUGAAGGAAACCCAGCUCCUGUCUUCUGCCAACAGAAACAACCAGAGGUUUAACAUGCACAGUGCAGCUUCUCUAGUAACCACAUACAUCACUUUUUGGUCCUUAAAGGAAGCUGCUGUCUGACAGGAGAUGAUUAGACCCUGAC